UAAAUGCACCUUUACCUCCUCAGCUUUACCCUGCAAGUAGAGUAUCUCUAGCCUACCAUCAUGCAUAAUUGUUCUUUUAAUUGCCAAAAGGUUAUAUUACUAUCAUUUAGCUUUAAUCCAAAUAUAAGUCUCCUAGCAAAAAGUAUCAUCCAGCGCUUCAUCAGAUUUCCCAUCGACUGAGUUCAAUAAGCUAGAUGUACUAAGCAAUAUUGCAGCCUCCUCGUAAUAUAAAUUGCAGUUUGUAGUAGCUAUGUUGUCACUGAUUUGGAGUCAAGUAUGGUACCUACUGUACCAUUCAUGUUAAUCAAGAGUAAGUAUGAUAUAAUAGUUGUCCAUAUGAGUGAUAUGCUUACCUUGGUGUUACCCUUUUCUGAUAUAUACCACAACUCUUGCAAUAGGAUGUGUCAGUUUUCUUGGUAGCAAGUUUGUGACAAUCUUCACAUCACAUGUACCACCAUUGAAUAUCAUCUUGUAACUGAUCUAUUGUAGCUAUUGUUGUGAACACAAAAUUCUAAAUAUCUUAAAAACUCAAGAAAUUGAAAGACACAAAUAAGUCAACUAAAUCUCAUUAUAACUAACAUUACACGUCUCAGAGACUCGUUAUCCAGGAAGAGUGAUGAUAGCAUACAUUGGAACUCGUACCUGAUUUCUCCGGAUUCAUGUAUCACUCUAACGGCAAGACGUCACAGGAGUGUACUGGAUGCAUCGUGUCUUUGAUCCUCCGGCAUGACGGACUGGAUAGCCUGCAGUCAUGGUUUCGAUCUACCGGGCGUUCGAGCAUCACUUGUGUGUUCAAACCCAUCAUGUUUCAGCGCACGCAUUGGGUGUUUUCUCACCUUCAUGUGUUACGACAUCCUUGUGUAAUUGUGUUUGUAGAUGCCUAUGCUUGAAAGAAAUCAAUCAGGCCAUAUGAAAAUCAAGUAGAAAAUAAUUGACCAGAUUGUACUUUGCCUUUGAUAGACGUGCACGUGACGGACUUGUAUACAUCUAUUUAGGCAGGUUGACUGGUUCUAGUACAUGGAUCCGUAUAUGACGAUGAGUCCUGGCUUGCAUUGUAGUAGUACUUCUUUUUGACCUGCGUAUAUGUUGUAGUAGUAGUAGGAUAGGGUUCCAUAUCUGAUUUCGAUUGUAACUAAAAAAGGAUUGUUUAUUCCCCUUCAAAGAAAAAGGAUUGUUUAUUCUUGUA